UCCUUCAGGGCAGGGUGUAAUUCCCUACCGGCGGUGAUGCUGUUGUAGAAGUAACUUAUUUAGUUCAUCUACAGUGCUCAGUCCGCUACCCGGCUCGCGUUGUUGACGCGAACGGUGGACCUGGUGAAAUUCCGGGACCGACAGUAUAGUCUGGAUGGAAGAAGGA
rnacentral:ncRNA from 1 species